rnacentral:lncRNA from 1 species
CAAUUUCGCUCUUCUAUCUCCUUUUCCCUGAUCUCUAGUGUUGUACUAGAUUACCUUGUUAAUGACUCUGGUGUGGCUGUGAAGAUUGUGUGGUUUCUCCCUCUCUGGCACCAGCUGCUCCUCCAGAAACUAAGGGUAUUUGGGCAUUUCCUUCAUCUUCCUGAGCUGGACUGCUAGAUCACCACUUGCUCCUUCUUCAGGUGACUCACCUGCUUGCAUGCCGGUUGGAUAAGGGCUUGCUGCCACCUCAACAAAGCUGGUUUGGUGUGAUAAUCUCAAGCUAUAUUUACUAUCAGUAGAAAUUUUGUAAAGCCUGACAUGUUUAGUGCUUUUGCACUUGAGUCCCACAAGUUAGUAAAAUUUAAGAUUACUAUGAAUUUAGGGACUGAUAUGCAAUUGCCCUAGAACUCAAGAGUUUUUCUGAAAAAUAAAUAAUUAUUGAAUCUU